UAUGUGGUUAAUGAUGAACACUUCUUUCCCCGACUUAUCGACCAUGGUGAUACAAAUAUGCAAAAUAAGCCAAUUAUUUCUGAAACCACAAU